CUGCUGCCUCCCGUAGGAGUCUGGGCCGUGUCUCAGUCCCAAUGUGGCCGGUCACUCUCUCAAGCCGGCUACUGAUCGUUGCUUUGGUAGGCCGUUACCCUGCCAACUGGCUAAUCAGACGCGGGGCCAUCGUAUGCCGAUAAAUCUUUUCACACCAUGCCAUGCAGCAUUGUGUGCUUAUGCGGUAUUAGCAGUCAUUUCUGACUGUUGUCCCCCUGCAUACGGUAGGUUCCCACG
rnacentral:rRNA from 1 species